rnacentral:rRNA from 1 species
AGAACGAACGCUGGCGGCAGGCUUAACACAUGCAAGUCGAACGGGUGUAGCAAUACACCAGUGGCAGACGGGUGAGUAACACGUGGGAACCUUCCUCGUAGUACGGAACAACUCAGGGAAACUUGUGCUAAUACCGUAUACGUCCGAGAGGAGAAAGAUUUAUCGCUAUGAGACGGGCCCGCGUCGGAUUAGGUAGUUGGUGGGGUAACGGCCUACCAAGCCUACGAUCCGUAGCUGAUCUGAGAGGAUGAUCAGCCACACUGGGACUGAGACACGGCCCAGACUCCUACGGGAGGCAGCAGUGGGGAAUCUUGGACAAUGGGCGCAAGCCUGAUCCAGCCAUGCCGCGUGAGUGAAGAAGGCCUUAGGGUUGUAAAGCUCUUUUGGCAGGGACGAUAAUGACGGUACCUGCAGAAUAAGCCCGGCAAACUUCGUGCCAGCAGCCGC